rnacentral:rRNA from 1 species
GGAGGAAGGUGGGGAUGACGUCAAGUCAUCAUGGCCCUUAUGUCCUGGGCUACACACGUGCUACAAUGGCCGGUACAGAGCGCAGCGAGGCCGCGAGGCGGAGCGAAUCGCUUAAAGCCGGUCCCAGUACGGAUUGGAGUCUGCAACCCGACUCCAUGAAGUUGGAAUCGCUAGUAAUCGCGCAUCAGCAUGGCGCGGUGAAUACGUUCCCGGGCCUU